rnacentral:rRNA from 1 species
GGGCCCGCACAAGCGGUGGAGUAUGUGGUUUAAUUCGAUGCAACGCGAAGAACCUUACCAGGGUUUGACAUCCUGCGAAUCUCUUGGAAACAGGAGAGUGCCUUCGGGAACGCAGUGACAGGUGGUGCAUGGCUGUCGUCAGCUCGUGUCGUGAGAUGUUGGGUUAAGUCCCGCAACGAGCGCAACCCACGUCUUUAGUUGCCAGCAUUUAGUUGGGCACUCUAGAGAGACUGCCGGUGCAAACCGUGAGGAAGGUGGGGAUGACGUCAAAUCAUCACGGCCCUUACGUCCUGGGCUACACACGUGCUACAAUGGUCGGUACAGAGAGCAGCCACUACGCGAGUAGGAGCGAA